rnacentral:lncRNA from 1 species
AAAAACAAAACGGUACUGAGAAAAAAUCUUAAAAGUUCCAACAGACGAAGAAAUUGAUGAUUCAGAUUGAAACAAAUUCAUAAAACACAUUUAAACCUUACAAGUCGUUAUUGUUGGCAUCUGUUUUUGUAGGAUUAAUAGAAGUAAUUUCUUAGCGCUAACAGUAUUGAAGACUUGCUCGUUUUGAGAAUCACUAGUCUUAAUUUCACACGUUAAGAUAGUCGGUAAGAUAAAUUCGUUACAUAGU